GACGAACGCUGGCGGCGUGCUUAACACAUGCAAGUCGAACGAAGUGGCGAACGGGUGAGUAACGCGUAAUCAACCUGCCCUUCAGCGGGGGACAACAGUUGGAAACGACUGCUAAUACCGCAUACUGAAGGAGGGGCUUGCGUCUGAUUAGCUAGUUGGAGGGGUAACGGCCCACCAAGGCGAUGUUCAGUCACCGGACGGGGAAGGUGAACGGCCACAUUGGGAAUGGGACACGGCCCAGACUCCUACGGGAGGCAGCAGGGGGGAAUCUUCCGCAAUGGACGAAAGUCUGACGGAGCAACGCCGCGGGAGUGAUGACAGCCUUCGGGUUGUAAAGCUCUGUUAAUCGGGACGCGGUACCGAAAUAGAAAGCCACGGCUAACUACGUGCCAGCAGCCGCGGUAAUUC
rnacentral:rRNA from 1 species